AGUGAACGCUGGCGGCAGGCCUAACACAUGCAAGUCGAACGGACCCUCCGGGAUCUGUGGCGGACGGGUUAGUAACCCGUGGGAACGUGCCCUUGGGUUUGGAACAACUCAGGGAAACUUGAGCCAAUACCGGACGUGCCCUUCUGGGGAAAGAUUUAUUGCCAUUGGAGCGGCCCGAGUCUGAUUAGCUGGUUGGUGAGGUAAUGGCCCACCAAGGCGAGAAUCAGUAGAUUGGCAGAGAGAAAGAUCAGCCACACCGAGAGGGAGAGGCGGCCGAGAAUCCUACGGGAAGCGGGAAAGGCGGAUCUUGCGAAGUGGGGGGAGGGCUGAAGGAGCCAGGACGCGUAAAUGAUGAAGGUAUUAAGAUUGUAAAGUUCUUUCAGCGGGGACGGUAAUGACGGUACCCGAAGAAGAAGCUCCGGCUAACUUCGUG
rnacentral:rRNA from 1 species